GAUGAACGCUAGCGGCAGGCUUAAUACAUGCAAGUUGAGGGGCAGCAUGAUAUACGCGAGUAUAUUGAUGGCGACCGGCGGACGGGUGAGUAAUAGGUAGGAGACCUACCUCAUACAGGGGGAUAGCAUAGAGAAAUCUGUGGUAAUACCCCAUGAGGUUAUAUGAAUAGAGGCAUAUAAUCAAAGCAUGAGCGAUUAUGCGGUAUGAGAGGGGCCUACUGACCAUUAGCUAGUUGGUGAGGUAAGGGCUCACCAAGGCGAAGAUGGUUAGGGGUUUUGAGAGAGAGACCCCCCACAUUGGAACUGAGAGACGGUCCAGACUCCUACGGGAGGCAGCAGUAGGGAAUAUUGGGCAAUGGGCGAAAGCCUGACCCAGCCAUGCCGCGUGAAGGAAGACGGCCUUAUGGGUUGUAAACUUCUUUACUACGCGAAUAGAGGUUAGUACGAGAUACUAAUAGGAAGGUAGUGUAAGUAAAAGCACCGGCUAACUCCGUG
rnacentral:rRNA from 1 species